CAGGGAGGUAGUGACAAGAAAUAACAAUACGGGGCUUAAUGUCUUGUAAUUGGAAUGAUGGGAAUUUAAACCUCUUCCAGAGUAUCAAUUGGAGGGCAAGUCUGGUGCCAGCAGCCGCGGUAAUUCCAGCUCCAAUAGCGUAUAUUAAAAUUGUUGCAGUUAAAAAGCUCGUAGUUGAAUUUCUGCUGCAUCGUCGCAUCUCUUGCUGAGUGCUUCAUUGCGGCUUAUUUCGGAUUGAUUUUUUCUUUCCGGAUGAUUACUUUGAGAAAAUUAGAGUGCUCAAAGCAGGCUUUUGCCUUGAAUAGUUUAGCAUGGAAUAAUAAAGUAGGACUUUGGUUCUAUUUUGUUGGUUUUAGGUACCAAAGUAAUGGUUAAUAGGAACAGUUGGGGGCAUUCGUAUUUAACUGUCAGAGGUGAAAUUCUUAGAUUUGUUAAAGACGAACUACUGCGAAAGCAUUUGCCAAGGAUGUUUUCAUUAAUCAAGAACGAAAGUUAGGGGAUCGAAGACGAUCAGAUACCGUCGUAGUCCUAACCAUAAACUAUGCCGACUAGAGAUUGGAGGUCGUCAGUUUUUACGACUCCUUCAGCACCUUGAGAGAAAUCAAAGUCUUUG
rnacentral:rRNA from 1 species